rnacentral:lncRNA from 10 species
CUUGCUCGCUGCUGCUGCCACGUAAGAAGUGUGUUGCUUCCCCUUCGUCUUCCACCAUGAAUAACAGAAUGGCAAUUUUCGUGUGGUGUUAAUUUCCGUGGAAGAAGAAAAGGCUCGACUCUCUGUCCUAUUUUUCAUGAAUACUGGAAGUAGGGAAUAAACCUGGAGUCUCACGGGUGAAAAGAGACAUUUCCAUAUCACCAGACCACAAACGUGGGUGUUGAUUCUAAGGAUACCCCCAAUAAACAUCUUUCGUGCUAAAGCCCAUUCCAGAAUUUACUUCCCAGCUAUCUUUGAUGUUCAUAUUGUCAGAGGUGGUGGCCGCUGAAACAGGCAAAGACAUGGAGCAUAUCUUGGGUCCAGGUAAAGGAGGUGGGUGCACACAAGUGAAAAGAUGUUGCUGAAGUCACGUGGCUUCAAGCAGUAGAGCUGACUGUCCUCUAGUCCAGUUGUCCCUACAGGAUAAAAGCUUCUCUCCAUUACAGAGACCUUGGGAGUCCAGAGGAAGGUCUUUUUACCAUCAGCAUUCUCUACUGUGUUCAAUGACUGUCAGCCAAAGAUGGCCAGGUUCUCUACUGUGAUGGUGAAUUUUAUGUGUCAAUUUGACUGGACCAUGGGAUGCCCAGCUUUCCUUCAGAAAGAAAUGCAUUCAAAGAACCUACAUUCACAACAUAAAGAAAUAAAGCACACACAAGACCGCCAAGCAUUAAGAUUCUCCUGUGGAGCCAGGCUACAAUCCUUUAAAUGAAGACAGACAGCUAGGUGGCUGCAGCCCAGCGCUACACCUCACCCCUCCCUCAGUGUCAUGCAGAAAAAAUGUAUUCAGAACUCAGAAGUGAAGUUGUGCAAAUCCAUCAUUGACACUAGCUUCAAGGUUACCUCGGGGGAGCAGAAUGUACCCCUGCCAGAGAGCUGGAUAGAUGAUGAUGGGGACAGAAAUUCUGGGGGAGUUGUAAAUGGCAGCCACUGCCUCUAUAGGAAACCCAAAGGGAACACAGCAGAAGAGGAGGUGGUGGAGGAGCCACUGCCCUCUCGAAGGGUUCAAUGUCAUUCUGCAGACACAACCAAAUAACUUUUUCUUCCCUGCUGCUCCUCCAUUUGAAAUGACAGCCCCGAGCUCGCUUUUUCCUUGAUUGUGUAACUCUGAUUACAGACAAGGCCAAGGCAAUCCCAGGGCAUUACUACAAAGCUAAGGGGUCCCCAAAGAACUAAAGAGUCAGCUCCACAAAAAUCCCGAUUCCUAGCAUGAAACUGAAAUAUGAAACCAAACGGGCAUAGAAAAGGUAUGUGCAUUCGAAUCACAUAGCAGUGACUGGAGUCCUGAGCUGUGUCUGAAGACUGUGAGAUCACGUUUGGAGCUGCUGAUUGGUUUUCAGUGAUGGCCCUGUUGCACAGUGCCGUGAGACUUAGCUCCAUGGCCAAAGACGAUGGUAUCCCCUAGGAGCCCUGUGAGGUUGCUGCUGUUCUCUUAAGACACCAGGUAGCCAUCUGAUCCUCCCUGAGCAAACUAACUGGGCAGACAGGUUUAUUAAACCUCUGUUGGUCCGACUUACAUGAAACAAGAGAGUUAUUUUGUUGUUGUUGUUUUGUUUUGUUUUAAAUUAAACCUGUCUUUGGAGCCUCCUGCUCUUAGUUUACAAGUCUUCUUUGCACACUCUAAUAUUUUAAGAAGCAGCAAACAUUAACUGAGGGUCUA